UACGUAGGGAGCGAGCGUUAUCCGGAUUUACUGGGUGUAAAGGGAGCGUAGACGGCGUAUCAAGUCUGAUGUGAAAGGCAGGGGCUUAACCCCUGGACUGCAUUGGAAACUGGUAUGCUUGAGUGCCGGAGGGGUAAGCGGAAUUCCUAGUGUAGCGGUGAGAUGCGUAGAUAUUAGGAGGAACACCAGUGGCGAAGGCGGCUUACUGGACAGUAACUGACGUUGAGGCUCGAAAGCGUGGGGAGCAAACA
rnacentral:rRNA from 1 species